UACGAAGGGGGCUAGCGUUGCUCGGAAUCACUGGGCGUAAAGGGCGCGUAGGCGGCCAUUCAAGUCAGAGGUGAAAGCCCAAGGCUCAACCUUGGAACUGCCUUUGAUACUGUUUGGCUUGAGACCGGUAGAGGUAAGUGGAACUGCGAGUGUAGAGGUGAAAUUCGUAGAUAUUCGCAAGAACAGCAGUGGCGAAGGCGGCUUACUGGACCGGUUCUGACGCUGAGGCGCGAAAGCGUGGGGAGCAAACAGG
rnacentral:rRNA from 1 species